CUGCCAAGAAUGUUUCCAUUAAUCAAGAACGAAAGUUAGAGGUUCGAAGGCGAUCAGAUACCGCCCUAGUUCUAACCAUAAACGAUGCCAGCCAGCGAUCCGGCUGUGUUCCUCAAAUGACACGCCGGGCAGCUUUCGGGAAACCAAAGCCUUUGGGUUCCGGGGGAAGUAUGGUUGCAAAGCUGAAACUUAAAGGAAUUGACGGAAGGGCACCACCAGGAGUGGAUCAUGCGGCUUAAUUUGACUCAACACGGGAAAACUUACCCGGCCCGGACGCAGGAAGGAUUGACAGAUUAAGAGCUCUUUCUUGAUUCUGCGGGUUGUGGUGCAUGGCCGUUCUUCGAUGGUGGAGCGAUUUGUCUGGUUAAUUCCGAUAACGAUCGAGACUCUAGCCUACUAAAUAGACGCCCCGGUCCUACACGCCGGGCGGUCUUCUUAGAGGGACAAGCGGCGUCUAGCCGCGCGAGACGGAGCAAUAACAGGUCUGUGAUGCCCUUAGAUGUCCGGGGCCGCACGCGCGCUACAUUGAAGGGGUCAGCGUGUGCUUUCCCGGCCUGACAAGGCUGGGUAACCCGUUGAACCUCCUUCGUGCUUGGGAUCGGCGUUUGUAACUGUCCGCCGUGAACGAGGAACUCCUAGUAAGCGCUGAGUCAUCAGCUCGCGUUGAUUAAGUCCCUGCCCUUUGUUCACACCGCCCGUCGCUACUACCGAUGGAUGAUUUAGUGAGGUCUUCAGACUGGCGCCCGAUGUGGUUUUAGGAUCGUGUCGGCGUGCCGGAAAGAUGUCCGAACUUGACCAUCUAGAGGAAGUAAAAGUCGUUAACAAGGUUUCC
rnacentral:rRNA from 1 species